rnacentral:rRNA from 1 species
UACGUAGGGUGCAAGCGUUGUCCGGAAUUAUUGGGCGUAAAGAGCUCGUAGGCGGUCUGUCGCGUCGGCUGUGAAAACUCGGGGCUCAACCCCGAGCCUGCAGUCGAUACGGGCAGACUAGAGUGCGGUAGGGGAGACUGGAAUUCCUGGUGUAGCGGUGAAAUGCGCAGAUAUCUGGAGGAACACCGGUGGCGAAGGCGGCAUCCUGGACCGAGAUUGACGCUGAGGCGCGAAAGCUAGGGUAGCAAACGGG